UACGUAGGGGGCAAGCGUUGUCCGGAUUUAUUGGGCGUAAAGAGCGUGUAGGCGGCCAGGUAGGUCUGCUGUGAAAACUCGAGGCUCAACCUCGAGAUGUCGGCGGAAACCGUCUGGCUAGAGUCCGGAAGAGGAGAGUGGAAUUCCUGGUGUAGCGGUGAAAUGCGCAGAUAUCAGGAAGAACACCCGUGGCGAAGGCGGCGU
rnacentral:rRNA from 1 species